rnacentral:rRNA from 1 species
GACGAACCGUGCGAACGUUAUUCGGAAUCACUGGGCUUAAAGCGCGUGUAGGCGGCCCGCCGCGUCGGCUGCUGAAAUCCCCCGGCUCAACCGGGGAACGGGCACCGAUACGGGCGGCCUCGAGGGGGGUAGGGGGACCUGGAACUUCCGGUGGAGCGGUGAAAUGCGUUGAGAUCGGAAGGAACGCCCGUGGCGAAAGCGAGGUCCUGGACCCUUUCUGACGCUGAGACGCGAAAGCCAGGGGAGCGAACGGG